CCUACGGGAGGCAGCAGUGAGGAAUAUUGGUCAAUGGACGAGAGUCUGAACCAGCCAAGUAGCGUGAAGGAUGACUGCCCUAUGGGUUGUAAACUUCUUUUAUAAAGGAAUAAAACGAGGCACGUGUGCCUUUUUGCAUGUAAUUUAUGAAUAAGGAUCGGCUAACUCCGUGCCAGCAGCCGCGGUAAUACGGAGGAUCCGAGCGUUAUCCGGAUUUAUUGGGUUUAAAGGGUGCGUAGAUGGGUUGUUAAGUCAGUUGUGAAAGUUUGCGGCUCAACCGUAAAAUUGCAAUUGAUACUGGCAGUCGUGAGUACAGUUGAGGUAGGCGGAAUUCGUGGUGUAGCGGUGAAAUGCUGAGAUAUCACGAAGAACCCCGAUUGCGAAGGCAGCUUACUAAACUGUGACUGACAUUGAUGCUCGAAAGUGUGGGUAUCAAACAGGAUUAGAUACCCGAGUAGUC
rnacentral:rRNA from 1 species